AAUCUGUAAACGGGUCUCCAAGAAUACUGGAAUUUGUUACAGAUUUGAAGGAAAAACUCAUGGGUGAGGUCAAAUGGUGUUUUGGAGAGGUUGUUGUGAAGUUUCUGGUCAGAUGAGUACUGUUGCUGGUAGAGAAUCGUAGAAACUCUUAGUAGGUGAGAUUCAUUUACUGGUUUGAUGGGGUUUGGAGAAUGGAGUUGAG
rnacentral:misc_RNA from 1 species